rnacentral:rRNA from 1 species
GAUGAACGCUGGCGGCGUGCCUAAUACAUGCCAGUCGAGCGAACAGAUAAGGAGCUUGCUCCUUUGACGUUAGCGGCGGACGGGUGAGUAACACGUGGGUAACCUACCUAUAAGACUGGGAUAACUUCGGGAAACCGGAGCUAAUACCGGAUAACAUUUGGAACCGCAUGGUUCUAAAGUGAAAGAUGGUUUUGCUAUCACUUAUAGAUGGACCCGCGCCGUAUUAGCUAGUUGGUAAGGUAACAGCUUACCAAGGCGACGAUACGUAGCCGACCUGAGAGGGUGAUCGGCCACACUGGAACUGAGACACGGUCCAGACUCCUACGGGAGGCAGCAGUAGGGAAUCUUCCGCAAUGGGCGAAAGCCUGACGGAGCAACGCCGCGUGAGUGAUGAAGGGUUUCGGCUCGUAAAACUCUGUUAUUAGGGAAGAACAAACGUGUAAGUAACUGUGCACGUCUUGACGGUACCUAAUCAGAAAGCCACGGCUAACUACGUG